rnacentral:rRNA from 1 species
CAAGGCCUUGCGCUCUUUGAGCGGCCGAUGUCAGAUUAGCUAGUUGGUGAGGUAAAGGCUUACCAAGGCGACGAUCUGUAGCGGGUCUGAGAGGAUGAUCCGCCACACUGGAACUGAGACACGGUCCAGACUCCUACGGGAGGCAGCAGUGGGGAAUUUUGGACAAUGGGGGCAACCCUGAUCCAGCCAUGCCGCGUGAGUGAAGAAGGCCUUCGGGUUGUAAAGCUUUUUCGGCCGGGAAGAAAUCGCAUGGGCCAAUACCCUGUGUGGAUGACGGUACCGGAAUAAGAAGCACCGGCUAACUACGUGCCAGCAGCCGCGGUAAUACGUAGGGUGCGAGCGUUAAUCGGAAUUACUGGGCGUAAAGCGUGCGCAGGCGGUUUUGUAAGACAGGCGUGAAAUCCCCGGGCUUAACCUGGGAACUGCGUUUGUGACUGCAAGGCUAGAGUACGGCAGAGGGGGGUGGAAUUCCACGUGUAGCAGUGAAAUGCGUAGAGAUGUGGAGGAACACCAAUGGCGAAGGCAGCCCCCUGGGUCGAUACUGACGCUCAUGCACGAAAGCGUGGGUAGCAAACAGGAUUAGAUACCCUGGUAGUCCACGCCCUAAACUAUGUCAACUAGGUGUUGGGUGGGUAAAACCAUUUAGUACCGUAGCUAACGCGUGAAGUUGACCGCCUGGGGAGUACGGCCGCAAGGUUAAAACUCAAAGGAAUUGACGGGGACCCGCACAAGCGGUGGAUGAUGUGGAUUAAUUCGAUGCAACGCGAAAAACCUCACCUACCCUUGACAUGCCAGGAACUUGCCAGAGAUGGCUUGGUGCCCGAACGGGAGCCUGGACACAGGUGCUGCAUGGCUGUCGUCAGCUCGUGUCGUGAGAUGUUGGGUUAAGUCCCGCAACGAGCGCAACCCUUGUCGUUAAUUGCCAUCAUUUAGUUGGGCACUUUAACGAGACUGCCGGUGACAAACCGGAGGAAGGUGGGGAUGACGUCAAGUCCUCAUGGCCCUUAUGGGUAGGGCUUCACACGUCAUACAAUGGUCGGUACAAAGGGUUGCCAAGCCGCGAGGCGGAGCCAAUCCCAGAAAGCCGAUCGUAGUCCGGAUUGCAGGCUGCAACUCGCCUGCAUGAAGUCGGAAUCGCUAGUAAUCGUGGAUCAGCAUGUCACGGUGAAUACGUUCCCGGGUCUUGUACACACCGCCCGUCACACCAUGGGAGCGGGUUCCGCCAGAAGUAGGUAGCCUAACCGCAAGGG